GUGUCAGCAGCCGCGGUAAUACGGGGGGGGCAAGCGUUGUUCGGAAUUACUGGGCGUAAAGGGUUUGUAGGUGGCCCGCUAAGUCACACGUGAAAUCCCUCAGCUUAACUGGGGAACUGCGUGUGAGACUGGCAGGCUCGAGGGCAGGAGAGGAACGCGGAAUUCCAGGUGUAGCGGUGAAAUGCGUAGAUAUCUGGAGGAACACCGGUGGCGAAGGCGGCGUUCUGGACUGUCUCUGACACUGAAGAACGAAAGCCAGGGGAGCAAACGGGAUUAGAAACCCUCGUAGUCC
rnacentral:rRNA from 1 species